rnacentral:misc_RNA from 1 species
GUCACAUUCACUGCUCCAUUUUUUAUUGGUACCACUUGACCACUCUCUCAAACGUUGCUAAAUAAAGACAAACCCUUUUGGAAGAGUGAGAUUUUCUUUGCAAAUUAAGAUUAGAAUUGCUCUUUUCGAAGGUGGCAUUGUCGCUUACUACAUGUGCUGAUUAAUCCUUAAACACUUUUCAAGGAUCUUUUAGCUGCCAAAGAUUCCAAAAAGCGUUUCUGGGUUUUGUUUCAUUUUCCUGUUCCCCUUAAGAUUGUUUCUUGUCAUCUUCAAAAACUUAGCUAAAGCUCAAAAUUUAAUUUCACUGGCUCGCUUGCUUUUCGGUAUGCCUUUUAAUCUUCAUCUUUAUGAUCUGCAUUUGAUUCUUUUGUGGUUUGAUUACAGAUUAGUUGUGGGUUCUUUUGUAUUUUUAGAGGCAGUUUUGUAUUAUUCAAGGCAGUUUCUGGGAUUACUGAUGUUAAAAAGAACAUGAAAUUUACGGUCUUAUUUUAGAUUCAACGAUUAUUUGUUGAUGGGUGUAUUUAUAUGAUGUUUUCGGUGCCUUAAGACUUUGCUUUUGAUGACUACUGCAACUUUCUUGAUGUUAUUUUAGUGAUACUGGUUUCUGAAUUCUUGUUAUUAUCUCUAGAUUCUAGUCAACUUUACCCCAAGGAUUGAUGGCUUUGAAUUUUGAUUUUUUGAUUCUGCUAAUUAUGUGCACAGUGAUACUUAUAUUUUGCUUUGAGCAUUUUAUGUAAAUGUAGUGUUUCAAUAUCCAUCGUUGAUUUGCCCCAGUUUUGAACAAUACUAUCGAAUUGGUUAUGGGUAUAAUUUAUGAAUUCUUGUUGCCCUAAAGGGAAGCUUAUGACGAUCUGAUCAUCUCUAGUCUAAGUUUCUGGAAUUUGUGUAUACCUCUGACUGCCUAAUACUAGAUGACUGCAAGGAACCAAUUGCUACUUCGGACCUCUUGUUGUCACUGGAUCUGAUGUAGUGAUAUUGAACCUUUUCCUUGUGAACAUCCUUCAUGUUAUUAUUUAUAAUUGCUAUGGGAAGAUUUUUUUUCACUCUGUAUUUGUUGCUUAUGGAGGCUAACUCCUAGUUUAACCAUUUAUUGUGAUGAAGAACAACAAUAACAACUAAGUGUCUAAGUCUUAAUAUCAAACUAGUUGGGGUUGGAUGAUAAAGAACAAUUUAUUUAAUUCCUUAUUCUUGUGCAAACUCGAAAACAAAUAUCCUUUUUCUUAGAUUUGUGCUAUUCAAUUCAGAAGGACAAUCAUAACUAUUUUCCAGCCUGGGACCAUAUUUAUGUUGAGCCAACACUGAUUCUGAAUUCUUUUGCAAAAUCUAUUAUUUACUUUGUUGAAAGUUGUGUUUUUUGUGUGCACUUGAGCAUGAUCAUGCUCUCUCCCUCUCUUUUUUUACUAUGAUGUGUUCGGUGAUAGGCUCAUAGGUGAAGAAUUUGAUCCAUAUUAUGGUUUAAAGGAUGCUAUAUAUUCCUGUACUCAGGUGCUACUGCUGUACUGCAUAAAAGGCUUAAGAAUUCAUUUGGUCACAAAGGCACAAUACUUUCUACAAGCUUUGAAGGCUAAGACCUCCUCUUUAAAAGAAGACCUUGGACUUUUGGCUGAAACUGAAUAGAUAAUAGACAUGGUUCAGAAACUAGAAGCUAUCAAGGGUGGUGGAGGAUCCAUCAAGGUGGGGACCACCGGAACAGUCAGUGCACUGAUGACAAGAGAACUGGAAUCCUUUAAAUCUGCAUCACAGACAUCAGUAUCUCAACAAGAUAAGCCUAGGACUGUUCCUGUCUCGAUUCCCUGUAGUGCAACCACUCCUAGAAGAUCACAAGCAAGAAAAUCAUUAGAUGAAGCAAGCAGCAGUACUAAUUGUAGAAGCCCUGAAACAUCUCAGAAGAUGAAAAGCUACGCUAAAAGUGCCCAUAAAAUGCCAAUGCUCUGCUCUGAGAAUGUAAUAUUGGAGAGAACUCCUAGUAGGGAGAAAACCAAGAAGAAAGGAACUAACAUUGUUGAAAUUGUGGACAUAAAAUGUGGUCACCCAGAUAAGGCGUGGGCUAGCCCUAUAACCAGCAAGCUUAAGAAGCUUGGUUUCUCAAAGCUAUCUGAGAGCAUUGUCUAAACUUGCAAGUUCUUGACAUCAGAUUUCAGGUUCCUGUAACUGAAACCUGAAAUCCCUAUUGGCCGGUUGUUGUUUGAAACUUCCACCACAGAGCACAUGCUUGGUAGAAGCCUGCUGCUUCCUUUCUUUUUCUUUUUCGGGGUUGUUAUCACAGAUCCAACAGUGGGUUUGGAUUGACUACUACUAGUUGAGGCUAUUCCAGUAGUAUGGGACUUGGGCUUCUGUGAGCUUUCUGGACAGCUUAAUUCUAGUUGGCUGAAAUAUCUGAUUUCUUGCAUUAUGAGGGACCCAAUGGUUCCUCGAGUGCCUAUGUCUACGGGAUUCUGUGUUGCCAUGUCUUCAGGGUUUUUUGUGGUUGUGGUUCUUGAUUUAUACAUGUUUUGUUUGUUCAGGUGAAGGAGGCUUACAGAUGAAGAGAAGUGGUUUUGGGAUCUUGAUCUGGGUGGGGAGAUUGCUUCAAGUCUGGGGCAUAUGGUGAUUGGCCUUAUACUCGGUGUAUUUACAUGAAUUCUUGACCCCCAUGUUCUUUGUCUGACGUGAAGAGCAUUAGAUUUCCCUAUUUAAAAGAUUAGAUAGUGACAUGUACGUUGUAUUCAUAUGCUUGUUGUCAAUACAUUUAAUUUGUUAACCACUAUACUUUUUCCUCUUUCAACUUCAUGGUUCUGAUUCACAUGUCAAUCAAUGCAUAUUCGGAUCAUGAUUAUGAUUGGCAUUAGAAGGUGAAUUAUGUGAAAUAUCUGCAUAAUACAUUCAUUAUUUGACCAUAA